CCAGACUCCUACGGGAGGCAGCAGUGGGGAAUAUUGCACAAUGGGGGAAACCCUGAUGCAGCAACGCCGCGUGAAGGAAGACGGUUUUCGGAUUGUAAACUUCUGUUCUUAGUGAAGAAGAAUGACGGUAGCUAAGGAGCAAGCCACGGCUAACUACGUGCCAGCAGCCGCGGUAAUACGGAGGAUGCGAGCGUUAUCCGGAUUUAUUGGGUUUAAAGGGUGCGUAGGCGGGCUGUUAAGUCAGCGGUCAAAUGUCGGGGCUCAACCCCGGCCUGCCGUUGAAACUGGCGGCCUCGAGUGGGCGAGAAGUAUGCGGAAUGCGUGGUGUAGCGGUGAAAUGCAUAGAUAUCACGCAGAACUCCGAUUGCGAAGGCAGCAUACCGGCGCUCAACUGACGCUCAUGCACGAAAGUGUGGGUAUCGAACAGGAUUAGAUACCCUGGUAA
rnacentral:rRNA from 1 species